rnacentral:rRNA from 1 species
UAGGGAAUCUUCCACAAUGGACGCAAGUCUGAUGGAGCAACGCCGCGUGAGUGAAGAAGGUCUUCGGAUCGUAAAACUCUGUUGUUAGAGAAGAACACGAGUGAGAGUAACUGUUCAUUCGGUGACGGUAUCUAACCAGCAAGUCACGGCUAACUACGUGCCAGCAGCCGCGGUAAUACGUAGGUGGCAAGCGUUGUCCGGAUUUAUUGGGCGUAAAGGGAACGCAGGCGGUCUUUUAAGUCUGAUGUGAAAGCCUUCGGCUUAACCGGAGUAGUGCAUUGGAAACUGGAAGACUUGAGUGCAGAAGAGGAGAGUGGAACUCCAUGUGUAGCGGUGAAAUGCGUAGAUAUAUGGAAGAACACCAGUGGCGAAAGCGGCUCUCUGGUCUGUAACUGACGCUGAGGUUCGAAAGCGUGGGUAGCAAACAGGAUUAGAUACCCUGGUAGUCCACGCCGUAAACGAUGAAUGCUAGGUGUUGGAGGGUUUCCGCCCUUCAGUGCCGCAGCUAACGCAAUAAGCAUUCCGCCUGGGGAGUACGACCGCAAGGUUG